ACACGCGCGCGCGCGCACAGACCCAUCGUACUCUCAACCGUGACUCUGUUUUUCUCAUAGCCAUUAGCUCUUGCUGAUUUUAAGUCAAAGGUAUUUUACAAAAUACCUAGUACCAUUCGCUCCUUUUUCUCUUUGAAGUUCCAGGCAUUAUAAUUCAGCUAUUUCUUGGCUCAUAAACUUGGCAAGGCUUUCUGAAGAAAAAAAAAAUCGUCUCACUGGCAGAGAGGUUUCUCAUGUGCCGACAGUUUAGCUUAUAUGAAAUCGCUGAGUAGAAGGAAGGCUAAAACUAGGAUUGUGGGGGCAACAGGAAACAGGCGGCCCUCCAUAAAUGAAUCCAAAUACUGAUUUUUGCUUAUCUAGGAAGACGAAGGCCCGGCUAAGGCAGCAUUCAGCGACCUCUCGCUAAAACUGUUUAUUCAAUGUGCUUUCUCCUCUGGAUGGAAAGUGGUCUUGUCUUCUCCAAGCCUUUCCUUAAGUACCGUUUCAAAGGUAAUUCCGCGGUGCCGCGUGGCGAGCAGCCUUCUCUAACCCUUUUUGGAGAGAAACACAGCUGGAGGCUUAGGACCACUUAAGAAGCCUCACACUCAAGGAGCCCUUCAUCUCAAAACAGAUCUCUUAAAAAUAUUCCUUGGAGCAAAUCUUUGUAGACUGUUCUGCCUGACAUCUCAUAAAGACUGGAGGGAAAGAAAAAAAAAGAAGCUUCGUGCACCUCGGAAGAGCGCGCGUCUCCGUCGCUGCACUUGAAGCACAUGGAAAAUAUUAAUUAGCUAAGUCCUUGAGUACACAAUGAAGGAGACAUCUGCCCUUGUUUUCUCCAUGCUAAAUCCUUUUCCAUGCUUGCUAUAACUAAGAGAAAAAAAUCACAGGAAAUAAAAAUGGCUCAAAUUGAAAACACACUGUUUCACACAACAUCCUGUCCUGCUUAACGGUGCCGUAAUUCCAUACGCUGUAAAUAAUUAGAUAGGGAUAUUGUAAAAUUAGCUCCAAUUUGCAUAGUAAUGCUUUACUAUUAUAAGUUAGUGACUUCAUUUGCAGGAAUUUAAUAACAAUUCAGCUUACAUAUUUCUGCUUUAAUGUAUUUUACACAAUAUUUAAUUUUUAAAUGACUAGAUUCAUCAAAGGAAGCCAGAAAAGGACGCUGCAUUUUACAGGUGUAAUAUUGCAUGUGAUAUGGUAAUUCUACACUUCUUAAAUCAACAGUUGGUCACUUUUUCUACAUAUUCUUGAUUUUUCCUCUUGGGAUUAAGGAAAAAAAAAAUCUGAGAUUUCUGAUGAUCCAGAGCAAGAAGAAAUAUACCUACUUGUGCUCCUGAAGACAUCUGAAACAGCCUAAAAUAUCCUGUAUGCGUUUUCUCACAGUUUCCCCCCUCAGGAAACUAUUGAACUUAACCCUAGAACAUUUUAAAAAUCAUAACUCAAGUUUAAAACCGAUUUUUUUUUUAAAUCUAAGGCUAGCAGAGCAAGUUACAUUUAAAAGUGGUUCUUAUAGCAUUUAUCAUCCCAGAUGCUAAUUCAAUGGAUAGAACCUUUACCAUCUUUUGAAUUUAUAUUACAAUUUUACCUGAUGAAAACCAAAUAGCCAUUUAUAGGCACAGCUUUUAUGCAAGGCUUUGUGCUCCGGUGGUCCUGGGUCAAUGACAAAAUCAUUGCAAGUCCCAAUGCUUUCCUUGAAGAAAAUUUCAAUGAUCACCAUUAGAAGAAUUCAUUUCUUUUUUCACAAAUAAGGUAUCUGGCACAUUUGUAGACAGAAAGUAAAUGACAAAAAGAAGAAAACAAUUACAGUAGAUUUCAAAUUGUUGGAGGAGAAAAGCGGAUGCAGCAUUAUAGAACCCAGGUGUGGUGGCUCAAGCCUGAAUCCCGGCACCAGGGUAGAGGCAAGGAAGAUCAGAAGUUCAAUGUCAUCGUCAGCUACAUAAUAAAGUUGAGGCCAGCCAGACUGAGAUGAUGAGACCUUAUCAAAAAAAAAAAAAAAAAAAAAGAAAGAAAGGAAAGGAGGAAGAAAGGGGUUCUUUAAGGUAUCCUUCACAGAUCUAAAUGACCAUGUGGUUCGUACCUGUGACACUUUGUCUCAUGCCUUGUUACUUAUCUCUUAAGUCUCCCACCUUUAUUUUUACUUAUCUGGGGCUUCGGCCAUUUAUUCUUGUGGAUAGCUAAUAAAGUUUCAGACAACUUGGCCAAGAUUGAAAAUACAAAAUAAUCUUAAAGAAUACUCUGUUCGCUAUUAGUGGCACAUAAUUUCAAAUUUCGA
rnacentral:sRNA from 1 species